GACCACAUCACAUAUGAGUUGCCUGGAUUGC
rnacentral:piRNA from 1 species